rnacentral:rRNA from 1 species
GUACACUCCUACGGGAGGCAGCAGUGGGGAAUAUUGCACAAUGGGCGCAAGCCUGAUGCAGCCAUGCCGCGUGUAUGAAGAAGGCCUUCGGGUUGUAAAGUACUUUCAGCGGGGAGGAAGGCGAUAAGGUUAAUAACCUUGUUGAUUGACGUUACCCGCAGAAGAAGCACCGGCUAACUCCGUGCCAGCAGCCGCGGUAAUACGGAGGGUGCAAGCGUUAAUCGGAAUUACUGGGCGUAAAGCGCACGCAGGCGGUCUGUCAAGUCGGAUGUGAAAUCCCCGGGCUCAACCUGGGAACUGCAUUCGAAACUGGCAGGCUAGAGUCUUGUAGAGGGGGGUAGAAUUCCAGGUGUAGCGGUGAAAUGCGUAGAGAUCUGGAGGAAUACCGGUGGCGAAGGCGGCCCCCUGGACAAAGACUGACGCUCAGGUGCGAAAGCGUGGGGAGCAAACAGGAUUAGAUACCCCAGUAGUCCCA